rnacentral:tRNA from 1 species
ACCUGGGUGGCUCAGUCGGUUGAGCUUCUGACUUUGGUUCAGGUCAUGAUCUCACAGUUUGUGAGUUCAAGCCUCAUGUCGGGUU